UGGAAAUAUUGCAUAAUUUCAUUAAUAGAUUUCAGAUUCAGUCAUUGAACAGAUGUGUGAGUGACCCAGUAUUAGGCUGUUUGAUGGAAACUGAGACGUGGGGAUGUAAUUUCUACUCUAAGGAAUUUAUUAUAGUCUAGUAAUUUAUUUUGUUUGCCAGAACCUGACAUAUGUUUUAUAAAUAAAUGUUGUGUUUUCAUGAUUGAGUAAAAAUAGAACAAUACUCAUUUUCUAAGUAAAAUCUUUGUGAUAUUUUAAUUCUCUUUCAGUUGCUAACAACUAUUUCUGUAGUCUUAUUUUCUAACAGCUUUUUAGUAUUUGAGCAAACCAGACUCCCAUUGGUUAAAGUAUAUAGUAAAAUAAGAAUUGCUUGUUCAACUACCUAUUUUACUUCAGUUGGUCUUUUUUUUUCCAAAUUGCUUUUCUGCAUAUACGCUACAUUGUAGGUAAGUUUUUUCCUGGUUCAGCUAACAGUUUUAAUUCUGAUGUUUAAUGUGAGACAUUUUGGAGGGUUUUUUUUUUUUUGGAAGGACAGCUUAAUAUUUUUUCUACAAUGAUUAAAAUCAUCCUGUGCCACUGAAGUGAGCUAUCCACUAAAAUAAAAGAUAGUAGUCAAAUGCAUCAGUGUGCAUUUUUAGUGAUGUUGUUGGUAGUUUGCCAGCUUUAUUUUCAAGUUCCUCCCAG
rnacentral:lncRNA from 1 species